rnacentral:rRNA from 1 species
GACGAACGCUGGCGGCGUGCCUAAUACAUGCAAGUAGGACGCAGUUGCGAACGGGUGAGUAACGCGUAGGUAACUACCUAUUAGAGGGGGAUAACUAUUGGAAACGAUAGCUAAUACCGCAUACUAGUAGAUGGACCUGCGUUGUAUUAGCUAGUAGGUAGGGUAAUGGCCUACCUAGGCAACGAUACAUAGCCGAGCUUGGAGGGUGGUCGGGCAAACUGGGUCGGAGGCACGGGCCAGACUCAUACGGGAGGCAGCAAGAGGGAAACUUCGGCAAAGGGGGGAACCCUGACCGAGCAACGCCGCGUGAGUGAAGAAGGUUGUCGGAGCGUAAAGCUCUGUUGUGAAGGAAGCGGUACUUAACCAGAAAGGGACGGCUAACUACGUGCCAGCAGCCGCGGUAAUAC